rnacentral:rRNA from 1 species
UACGAAGGGGGCUAGCGUUGCUCGGAAUCACUGGGCGUAAAGCGCACGUAGGCGGCUUCUUAAGUCAGGGGUGAAAUCCUGGAGCUCAACUCCAGAACUGCCUUCGAUACUGGAAGACUUGAGUCCGGGAGAGGUGAGUGGAACUGCGAGUGUAGAGGUGAAAUUCGUAGAUAUUCGCAAGAACACCAGUGGCGAAGGCGGCUCACUGGCCCGGUACUGACGCUGAGGUGCGAAAGCGUGGGGAGCAAACAGG